rnacentral:rRNA from 1 species
GACGAACGCUGGCGGCGUGCCUAACACAUGCAAGUCGAGCGAGCGGCGAACGGGUGAGUAACGCGUAGUAACCUGCCCCCCUCUUUGGGAUGACAGUUGGAAACGGAUGCCAAUACCGGAUAGUGGGGGAUGGACUCGCGUCCUAUCUGCUUGUUGGGGGGGUAGUGGCCCACCAAGCCGACGACGGGUAGCUGGUCUGAGAGGAUGAUCAGCCACACUGGAACUGAGACACGGUCCAGACUCCUACGGGAGGCAGCAGUGGGGAAUAUUGCACAAUGGGCGCAAGCCUGAUGCAGCCAUGCCGCGUGUAUGAAGAAGGCCUUCGGGUUGUAAAGUACUUUCAGCGGGGAGGCGUUACUCGCAGAAGAAGCACCGGCUAACUCCGUGCCAGCAGCCGCGGUAAUUG